rnacentral:rRNA from 1 species
GAUGAACGCUGGCGGCGUGCCUAAUACAUGCAAGUCGAGCGAACAGACGAGGAGCUUGCUCCUCUGACGUUAGCGGCGGACGGGUGAGUAACACGUGGAUAACCUACCUAUAAGACUGGGAUAACUUCGGGAAACCGGAGCUAAUACCGGAUAAUAUAUUGAACCGCAUGGUUCAAUAGUGAAAGACGGUUUUGCUGUCACUUAUAGAUGGAUCCGCGCCGCAUUAGCUAGUUGGUAAGGUAACGGCUUACCAAGGCAACGAUGCGUAGCCGACCUGCGAGGGUGAUCGGCCACACUGGAACUGAGACACGGUCCAGACUCCUACGGGAGGCAGCAGUAGGGAAUCUUCCGCAAUGGGCGAAAGCCUGACGGAGCAACGCCGCGUGAGUGAUGAAGGUCUUCGGAUCGUAAAACUCUGUUAUUAGGGAAGAACAAAUGUGUAAGUAACUAUGCACGUCUUGACGGUACCUAGUCAGAAAGCCACGGCUAACUACGUG